GUGAGGAAUAUUGCGCAAUGGGGGAAACCCUGACGCAGCGAUGCCGCGUGGGUGAGGAAGGCCUUCGGGUCGUAAAGCCCUGUCAGGUGGGAAGAACAGCUUCCGGGUGAAUAGUCCGGAGGUCUGACGGUACCACCGAAGGAAGCACCGGCUAACUCCGUGCCAGCAGCCGCGGUAAGACGGAGGGUGCGAGCGUUAUUCGGAUUCAUUGGGCGUAAAGGGCGUGUAGGCGGCCGGUUAAGUCAGAGGUGAAAGCCCGGGGCUCAACCUCGGAAGUGCCUUUGAUACUGGCUGGCUUGAGUUCGGGAGAGGGAAGCGGAAUUCCGGGUGUAGAGGUGAAAUUCGUAGAUAUCCGGAGGAACACCGGUGGCGAAGGCGGCUUCCUGGACCGAAACUGACGCUGAGACGCGAAAGCGUGGGGAGCAAACAGGAUUAGAUACCCCAGUAGUCC
rnacentral:rRNA from 1 species